GUUAUUUUGGCAGAUAUGAUGCACUAGAUUUAGGAUCUAAUUAGAUAGGUUAAAUACUAUAAAUAAUA
rnacentral:tRNA from 1 species